rnacentral:rRNA from 1 species
AACGAACGCUGGCGGCAUGCCUAACACAUGCAAGUCGAACGCGUGUAGCAAUACACGAGUGGCGGACGGGUGAGUAACGCGUGGGAACCUGCCCAAUGGUAGGGAAUAACUGCGGGAAACUGCAGCUAAUACCCUAUGCUCCCUACGGGGGAAAGAUUUAUCGCCAUUGGAGGGGCCCGCGUCGGAUUAGCUAGUUGGCGGGGUAACGGCCCACCAAGGCUACGAUCCGUAGCUGGUCGAGAGGAUGAUCAGCCACACUGGGACUGAGAUACGGCCCAGACUCCUACGGGAGGCAGCAGUGGGGAAUAUUGGACAAUGGGGGAAACCCUGAUCCAGCAAUGCCGCGUGAGUGAAGAAGGCCUUAGGGUUGUAAAGCUCUUUCGGCGGGGACGAUGGUGACGGUACCGCAGAAGAAGCCCCGGCUAACUUCGUGCCAGCAGCCGCCGUAAC